GACGUUGGAAAUUUAUUUUCAGUGUCGCAGGGAAACCGAUAAACACACCGCCUGGGGAGUACGACCGCAAGGUUAAAACUCAAAUGAAUUGACGGGGACCCGCACAAGUAGUGGAGCAUGUGGUUUAAUUCGAAGAUACGCGCAGAACCUUACCAACACUUGACAUGUUCGUCGCGACUCUAAGAGAUUAGAGUUUUCGGUUCGGCCGGACGAAACACAGGUGCUGCAUGGCUGUCGUCAGCUCGUGUCGUGAGAUGUUGGGUUAAGUCCCGCAACGAGCGCAACCCUCACUUUUAGUUGCCAUCAUUAAGUUGGGCACUCUGAAAGAACUGCCAGUGAUAAGCUGGAGAAAGGUGGGGAUGACGUCAAGUCCUCAUGGCCCUUACGUGUUGGGCUACACACGUGCUACAAUGGCAUCUACAACAGGAAGCAAAACGGCAACGUUAAGCAAAUCCCGAAAAGAUGCCUCAGUUCGGAUUGCACUCUGCAACUCGAGUGCAUGAAGCUGGAAUUACUAGUAAUCGUGGAUCAGCGUGCCACGGUGAAUGCGUUCCCGGGUCUUGUACACACCGUCCGUCACACCAUGGGAGUUGGUUCUACCUUAAGGCAAGGUUUUAAACCCUUGACCACGGUAUAGUCAGCGACUGGGGUG
rnacentral:rRNA from 1 species